ensembl:lncRNA
GUUCGAUUCCUGGGUCAGGAAGAUUCCCUGGAGAAGGGAUAGGCUACCCUCUCCAGUAUUCUUGGGCUUCUCUGGUGGCUCAAACAAGAAGAAUACUGAAGCACAAAGUGUAAAGGGUCUUAGAGAGUCAUUGGCCAAGUGGUAGCCCAGCUCUUGACUCUUCCCAGUGCCUUUUAUUAUCAAGCAGUGAAGGGCAAGAAGUAAGAAUUGUUUAAUUGCAAAAGAAAGAAAAAAAAAUUAGAGCAAUGAGAUUAAUGGACUUGGAUUAAUGUGAUAAUACAUCUCUGAGUUUGAGCACAUACCCACCCGCUUACCUGUGUCAACUCAAGAAUGAAAUGGAAACUCGCUGUAUUGUGUG